rnacentral:rRNA from 1 species
CAGUAGCCACGGUAAUACGUAGGUGGCAAGCGUUGUCCGGAAUUAUUGGGCGUAAAGGGCUCGCAGGCGGUUUCUUAAGUCUGAUGUGAAAGCCCCCGGCUCAACCGGGGAGGGUCAGUGGAAACUGGGAAACUUGAGUGCAGAAGAGGAGAGUGGAAUUCCACGUGUAGCGGUGGAAUGCGUAGAGAUGUGGAGGAACACCAGUGGCGAAGGCGACUCUCUGGUCUGUAACUGACGCUGAGGCACGAAAGCUAGGGGAGCAAACAGGAUUAGAUACCCGUGUAGUCCCUGUCUCUUAUAC